rnacentral:rRNA from 1 species
CGGCGAGUGAAGCGGCAACAGCUCAAAUUUGAAAUCUGGCUCUCGGGCCCGAGUUGUAAUUUGUAGAGGAUACUUUUGAUGCGGUGCCUUCCGAGUUCCCUGGAACGGGACGCCAUAGAGGGUGAGAGCCCCGUCUGGUUGGAUGCCAAAUCUCUGUAAAGUUCCUUCGACGAGUCGAGUAGUUUGGGAAUGCUGCUCUAAAUGGGAGGUAUAUGUCUUCUAAAGCUAAAUACCGGCCAGAGACCGAUAGCGCACAAGUAGAGUGAUCGAAAGAUGAAAAGCACUUUGAAAAGAGAGUUAAAAAGUACGUGAAAUUGUUGAAAGGGAAGCGUUUAUGACCAGACUUGGGCUUGGUUAAUCAUCUGGGGUUCUCCCCAGUGCACUUUUCCAGUCCAGGCCAGCAUCAGUUUUCCCCGGGGGAUAAAGACUU